rnacentral:rRNA from 1 species
AUUGAACGCUGGCGGCAGGCUUAACACAUGCAAGUCGAGCGAGCGGCGGACGGGUGAGUAAUGUCUAGGAAACUGCCUGAUGGAGGGGGAUAACUACUGGAAACGGUAGCUAAUACCGCAUACCAUCAGAUGUGCCCAGAUGGGAUUAGCUAGUAGGUGGGGUAAUGGCUCACCUAGGCGACGAUCCCUAGCUGGUCUGAGAGGCUGACCAGCCACAUUGGAACUGAGAACCGGUCCAGACUCCUACGGGAGGAAACAGUGGGGAAUAUUGCACAAUGGGCGCAAGCUGGAGGCAGCAAGGCCGCGUGUGGGAAGAAGGCCUUCGGGUUGUAAAGCACUUUCAGCGAGGAGGCGUUACUCGCAGAAGAAGCACCGGCUAACUCCGUGCCAGCAGCCGCGGUAAUAC